rnacentral:rRNA from 1 species
AGUGAACGCCGGCGGUAGGCCUAACACAUGCAAGUCGAACGGCAGCACAGUAAGAGCUUGCUCUUACGGGUGGCGAGUGGCGGACGGGUGAGGAAUACAUCGGAAUCUACUUUUUCGUGGGGGAUAACGUAGGGAAACUUACGCUAGUACCGCAUACGACCUACGGGUGAAAGCAGGGGAUCUUCGGACCUUGCGCGAUUGAAUGAGCCGAUGUCGGAUUAGCUAGUUGGCGGGGUAAAGGCCCACCAAGGCGACGAUCCGUAGCUGGUCUGAGAGGAUGAUCAGCCACACUGGAACUGAGACACGGUCCAGACUCCUACGGGAGGCAGCAGUGGGGAAUAUUGGACAAUGGGCGCAAGCCUGAUCCAGCCAUACCGCGUGGGUGAAGAAGGCCUUCGGGUUGUAAAGCCCUUUUGUUGGGAAAGAAAAGCAGCAGGUUAAUACCCCGCUGUUCUGACGGUACCCAAAGAAUAAGCACCGGCUAACUUCGUG